rnacentral:rRNA from 1 species
UACAGAGGGUGCGAGCGUUAAUCGGAAUUACUGGGCGUAAAGCGUGCGUAGACGGCUAUCUAAGUCGGGUGUGAAAAGCCCCGGGCUCAACCUGGGAAUUGCAUUCGAGACUUGAAUAGCUAGGGUACGGUAGAGGGAAGUGGAAUUUCCGGUGUAAGCGGUGAAAUGCGUAGAUAUCAGGAGGAACACCAAUUGCGAAGGCAGCUCGCUGGGACGUUACUGACGCUGAGACGCGAAAGCGUGGGGAGCAAACAGG